rnacentral:rRNA from 1 species
GCUAAACGCGAAGAACCUUACCAAGGCUUGACAUAUACGAGAACGCUUCAGAAAUGAAGAACUCUUUGGACACUCGUAUACAGGUGGUGCAUGGUUGUCGUCAGCUCGUGUCGUGAGAUGUUGGGUUAAGUCCCGCAACGAGCGCAACCCUCGUUCUAUGUUGCCAGCACGUAAUGGUGGGAACUCAUGGGAUACUGCCGGGGUCAACUCGGAGGAAGGUGGGGAUGACGUCAAAUCAUCAUGCCCCUUAUGUCUUGGGCUUCACGCAUGCUACAAUGGCCGGUACAAAGGGCUGCAAUACCGUAAGGUGGAGCGAAUCCCAAAAAGCCGGUCCCAGUUCGGAUUGAGGUCUGCAACUCGACCUCAUGAAGUCGGAGUCGCUAGUAAUCGCAGAUCAGCAACGCUGCGGUGAAUACGUUCCCGGGUCUUGUACACACCG